rnacentral:rRNA from 1 species
UGCGUAGGUGGUGUGGCAAGUCAGAUGUGAAAUCCCGGGGCUCAACCUCGGAACUGCAUCCGAUACUACCGCACUAGAGGACUGGAGAGGAGACUGGAAUUCUCGGUGUAGUGGUGAAAUGCGUAGAUAUCGGGAGGAACACCAGUGGCGAAGGCGACUUCCUGGCCUGUUCUUGACGCUGAGGCGCGAAAGCUAGGGGAGCAAACG